GACGAACGCUGGCGGCGUGCCUAACACAUGCAAGUCGAACGGGGUAAUUACUUCGGUGAUUACUUAGUGGCGAACGGGUGAGUAACGCGUGAGAAACCUGCCUUUCAGUGGGGGACAACAGUUGGAAACGACUGCUAAUACCGCAUAAUGUUAUUUGGGGGCAUCCUCGAAUAACCAAAGCUUUAUGUGCUGAAAGAUGGUCUCGCGUCUGAUUAGCUAGAUGGCGGGGUAACGGCCCACCAUGGCGACGAUCAGUAGCCGGUCUGAGGGGAUGAACGGCCACAUUGGGACUGAGAUACGGCCCAGACUCCUACGGGAGGCAGCAGUGGGGAAUAUUGGGCAAUGGGGGAAACCCUGACCCAGCAACGCCGCGUGAAGGAAGAAGGCCUUCGGGUUGUAAACUUCUUUUACCAGGGACGAAGAACGUGACGGUACCUGGAGAAAAAGCAACGGCUAACUACGUGCCAGCCGCCGCAGUAACAC
rnacentral:rRNA from 1 species